rnacentral:rRNA from 3 species
UGGGGAAUAUUGGGCAAUGGGCGAAAGCCUGACCCAGCAACGCCGCGUGAAGGAAGAAGGCCUUCGGGUUGUAAACUUCUUUUAAGAGGGACGAAGAAGUGACGGUACCUCUUGAAUAAGCCACGGCUAACUACGUGCCAGCAGCCGCGGUAAUACGUAGGUGGCGAGCGUUAUCCGGAUUUACUGGGUGUAAAGGGCGCGUAGGCGGGAAUGCAAGUCAGAUGUGAAAUCCAAGGGCUCAACCCUUGAACUGCAUUUGAAACUGUAUUUCUUGAGUGUCGGAGAGGUUGACGGAAUUCCUAGUGUAGCGGUGAAAUGCGUAGAUAUUAGGAGGAACACCAGUGGCGAAGGCGGUCAACUGGACGAUAACUGACGCUGAGGCGCGAAAGCGUGGGGAGCAAACAGG